UCCAAGCUAUGCCCAGCUCUGGGUCAGCUCAGUGCAGGGGCUGAGCAUGGGAAAGGAAAGCUCAGGAUGCCUCAGCUGGGGGAAAAGCAGCAGAAACCAGUUAUGUUUCAUGGAGUAAACCUGCUACUGAGGAAAUGGGCUUGGCUGGAAGCUUUCUCCAGUACACACUGCCUGUAUCUCACCAGGCCAUGUCAAGGACCUGAAUCCUGAAAGCACCCUGUGGACCUUUGGGACUCACGGUAACAUCAGCAAACCACACUAAAGAAACAAACUGAGUUGGUCCCAGUCCCAGCUGGCAGCCCCUUCACAGCCUCACAUCAGCUGAAGCCCUGCAUCUUGUCACUCCUGACCUUAACUCUGACUGUAAAUGGCACUACCCUUGUUCUGGGUGUCACCUGAGGCAGGACCAGACUUUGUCCUUUAUGAAAACAGAAGAUUAAGAAGUCUUCAUCCCAGCAGACCUCACAUGGCUCCAAACCUGUGUUCAAAUGUUGGUCUUUGACUCCUGCUUGGAAGGCACUUCCUGAUUUUUAGAGCUCCAGAUCUCUGGAGCUUGGGUCCCCAAGGCUCUCCCCUGGCUGGACUGUGCUGCAACACUCUGAAAAGGGGUUUGUGUUGUUCUCUGGUUCCUGCCCUUCCCAAGUGUUACACACCCCCUUGGAACUGCUUAACUGAAGAGCCUCUGGACACAGGCUUCAGGAAAUAGGCUCCAGAUUAGCAGAUGACCAGCAGUGAACAAAAUCAGCACUGCUGGAGUUAACCUGAACACGUGCUGAGGCAUCCUGGCAUUUAAUCAGCACAGACAGAUGCACCCCAGCCUGCCAGUUCUGGGGCAGAAUUUGCUCC